rnacentral:rRNA from 1 species
GACGAACGCUGGCGGCGUGCCUAAUACAUGCAAGUUGAGCGCUGAAGGUUGGUACUUGUACCAACUGGAUGAGCAGCGAACGGGUGAGUAACGCGUGGGGAAUCUGCCUUUGAGCAGGGGACAACAUUUGGAAACGAAUGCUAAUACCGCAUAAAAACUUUAAACACAAGUUUUAAGUUUGAAAGAUGCAAUUGCAUCACUCAAAGAUGAUCCCGCGUUGUAUUAGCUAGUUGGUGAGGUAAAGGCUCACCAAGGCGAUGAUACAUAGCCGACCUGAGAGGGUGACCGGCCACAUUGGGACUGAGACACGGCCCAAACUCCUACGGGAGGCAGCAGUAGGGAAUCUUCGGCAAUGGACGAAAGUCUGACCGAGCAACGCCGCGUGAGUGAAGAAGGUUUUCGGAUCGUAAAACUCUGUUGGUAGAGAAGAACGUUGGUGAGAGUGGAAAGCUCACCAAGUGACGGUAACUACCCAGAAAGGGACGGCUAACUACGUG